rnacentral:rRNA from 1 species
GCCAGACUCCUACGGGAGGCAGCAGUGGGGGAUAUUGCACAAUGGGGGAAACCCUGAUGCAGCGACGCCGCGUGUGGGAAGACGGUCCUCUGGAUUGUAAACCACUGUCCCCAGGGGCGAAGAUGACGGUACCUGGGGAGGAAGCUCCGGCUAACUACGUGCCAGCAGCCGCGGUAAUACGUAGGGAGCGAGCGUUGUCCGGAAUUACUGGGUGUAAAGGGAGCGUAGGCGGGGAUGCAAGUUGGGUGUCAAAACUACCGGCUCAACUGGUAGUCGCACUCAAAACUGCAGCUCUUGAGUGAAGUAGAGGCAGGCGGAAUUCCUAGUGUAGCGGUGAAAUGCGUAGAUAUUAGGAGGAACACCAGUGGCGAAGGCGGCCUGCUGGACGAUGACUGACGCUGAGGCUCGAAAGCGUGGGGAGCAAACAGGAUUAGAUACCCCAGUAU